UACGGAGGGUGCAAGCGUUAAUCGGAAUUACUGGGCGUAAAGCGCACGCAGGCGGUUUGUUAAGCUAGAUGUGAAAGCCCCGGGCUCAACCUGGGAUGGUCAUUUAGAACUGGCAGACUAGAGUUUUGGAGAGGGGAGUGGAAUUCCAGGUGUAGCGGUGAAAUGCGUAGAUAUCUGGAGGAACAUCAGUGGCGAAGGCGACUCUCUGGCCAAAGACUGACGCUCAUGUGCGAAAGUGUGGGUAGCGAACAGG
rnacentral:rRNA from 1 species